rnacentral:rRNA from 1 species
UACGAGGGGGCAAGCGUUGUUCGGAAUUACUGGGCGUAAAGCGUGCGUAGACGGUAGCGUAAGUCGGGUGUGAAAGCCCGGGCUCAACCUGGGAAUUGCAUUCGAGACUGCUCUGCUAGGGUGCGGAAGAGGGAAGCGGAAUUUCCGGUGUAGCGGUGAAAUGCGUAGAUAUCGGAAGGAACACCGGUGGCGAAGGCGGCGACCUGGGUAGAUACUGACGCUGAGGCGCGAAAGCGUGGGGAGCAAACAGG